rnacentral:rRNA from 1 species
UACGUAGGGUGCGAGCGUUAAUCGGAAUUACUGGGCGUAAAGCGUGCGCAGGCGGCUAUUUAAGCUUGCUGUGAAAGCCCCGGGCUUAACCUGGGAACUGCAGUGAGGACUGGAUGGCUGGAGUGUGGCAGAGGGGGGGUGGAAUUCCACGUGUAGCAGUGAAAUGCGUAGAGAUGUGGAGGAACACCGAUGGCGAAGGCAGCCCCCUGGGCUAACACUGACGCCUCAGGCACGAAAGCGUGGGGAGCAAACAGG